rnacentral:rRNA from 1 species
UACAGAGGUCCCAAGCGUUGUUCGGAUUCACUGGGCGUAAAGGGUGCGUAGGUGGUCAGGUAAGUCGGAUGUGAAAUCUCCGAGCUCAACUCGGAAACUGCAUUGGAAACUACCUGGCUCGAGGGUUGGAGGGGGACUGGAAUGCUUGGUGUAGCAGUGAAAUGCGUAGAUAUCAAGCGGAACACCAGUGGCGAAGGCGAGUCCCUGGACAACUCCUGACACUGAUGCACGAAAGCUAGGGGAGCAAACAGG